rnacentral:rRNA from 1 species
GAUGAACGCUGGCGGCGUGCCUAACACAUGCAAGUCGAGCGAACGGACGAUAAGCUUGCUUCCUUGAUGUUAGCGGCGGGCGGGCGAGUAACACGUGGAUCACCUACUUAUAUGACUGGGAUAAUUUCGGGAGACCGGAUCUAAUACCGGAUGAUAUUUUGAACCGCAUAGUUCAAAAGUGAAUGACGGCCUUGCUGUCUCUUAUAGAUGGUUCCGCGCUGGAUUAGCUAGUUGGUAAGGUAACGGCUUACCAAGGCGACGAUGCGUAGCCGACCUGAGAGGGUGAUCGGCCACACUGGAACUGAGACACGGUCCAGACUCCUACGGGAGGCAGCAGUAGGGAAUCUUCCGCAAUGGGCGAAGGCCUGACGGAGCAACGCCGCGUGAGUGAUGAAGGUCUUCGGGUCGUAAAACUCUGUUAUUGGGAAAGAAAAUAUGUGGGAGUAACUGUGCACGUCUUGACGGUACCUAAUCAGAAAGCCACGGCUAACUUCGUG